CCUACGGGAGGCAGCAGUGGGGAAUCUUGCGCAAUGGGCGAAAGCCUGACGCAGCGACGCCGCGUGGGGGAAGAAGGCCUUCGGGUUGUAAACCUCUUUCAGCAGGGACGAAGCCACUCGGGUUAAUAGCCCAGAGGGUGACGGUACCUGCAGAAGAAGCCCCGGCUAACUACGUGCCAGCAGCCGCGGUAAUACGUAGGGGGCAAGCGUUGUCCGGAUUUAUUGGGCGUAAAGAGCGUGUAGGCGGCCAGACAAGUCCGUUGUGAAAACCUAGAGGCUUAACCUCUAGACGUCGAUGGAAACUGUUUGGCUAGAGUCCGGAAGAGGAGAAUGGAAUUCCUGGUGUAGCGGUGAAAUGCGCAGAUAUCAGGAAGAACACCCGUGGCUAAGGCGGUUCUCUAGUACGGCACUGACGCUGAGACGCGAAAGCGUGGGGAGCGAACAGGAUUAGAUACCCUGGUAGUCCACGCCGUAAACGAUGGGUGCUAGGUGUGGGGGUGUCGACUCCCUCCGUGCCGAGCUAACGCAUAGCNCCGC
rnacentral:rRNA from 1 species